GCUGGCGGCAGGCCUAACACAUGCAAGUCGAGCGGUAACAGAAAGAAAGCUUGCUUUCUUUGCUGACGAGCGGCGGACGGGUGAGUAAUGCCUGGGAAUAUGCCUUAGUGUGGGGGAUAACUAUUGGAAACGAUAGCUAAUACCGCAUAACGUCUUCGGACCAAAGAGGGGGACCUUCGGGCCUCUCGCGCUAAGAUUAGCCCAGGUGGGAUUAGCUAGUUGGUGAGGUAAAGGCUCACCAAGGCAACGAUCCCUAGCUGGUCUGAGAGGAUGAUCAGCCACACUGGAACUGAGACACGGUCCAGACUCCUACGGGAGGCAGCAGUGGGGAAUAUUGCACAAUGGGGGAAACCCUGAUGCAGCCAUGCCGCGUGUAUGAAGAAGGCCUUCGGGUUGUAAAGUACUUUCAGUCGUGAGGAAGGCAUUGUAGUUAAUAGCUGCAGUGCUUGACGUUAGCGACAGAAGAAGCACCGGCUAACUCCGUG
rnacentral:rRNA from 1 species